CCUUCAAUUCUCAUAAUAACGAUUUGAGGGGUUUAAUAUUUUAUAGCCAGCAGGCAAAUGAACACACAAAUGCUUUUAAACACGGGCAUUGUCGUACUUGGCCGGACUGCAGAAGGCGUCAUGCAAUAUGCAGACGAAAAAACAACAGGAAGUAAAAUGGCAAAUCAUGCAAUGUGGAUGUUGUAGAAAGAUCAAAGUAACAUCUUGGCGUGGGGGUACCGUGGACAGUCGCCAGCAACACAAUUUCAACUCGAGUUUUGUCAUGAGGCGUUUCAAGCGAGAUGCUCGGUAGUAUGCACUGAGCGGGAUGCUACUUUUUUCUUGAAGAAAACGACAACAAGCAAAAACAACUGCAUAUAUUAUCGGGUUGAAAGGCAAAAAUACAUUGUUGCAUUGCGUUAGUAUAUCAGGUGCGGCGGGGGGUACCUUUGCGGUGCCCUGCUGUGGUUGAAUGAACCUCGGUCCCUAUCGUCUGUGUGCUUUUGUCACAUUUUCACUCCCGUAACGUAGCAUGUGUAGCGGAAAAGCUGGUAAAGGUUUUCUUUGCAAACGAUGGCUCUACCCUGUGGACUAAAUUGAUUCAAAAAAGGGAAUGCUGGCCUUUGGGGGUUUGGUUGGUACACAUAUAGCUGAUGAUUCACUCAUCCGUGUGUCCGCCAUCUUGGGUGUGGCAGAUUCCUCCUUGAAGUAAUCCAGGUAAAUGUACAUUUUGAACAUUUAUGUUUGUGUGUGAUUGUGAGCAGGAAUGGAUGGGUUUUUUUUGUCUAUGUGUGCCCAGCGAUUGGCUGGCAGCCAACAUAUAGCUGAUGAUUCAUUCAACGGGUUGCUAAAAGAUGUAAUCCUGGGGUUGGUACAUCCGUGUGUCCGCCAUCUUGGGUGUGGCAGAUUCAUCCUUGAAGUAAUCCACGUAAAUGUACUAAACUUCAUAAAGUGUACAUUUUGAACAUUUACGUUUGUGUGUGAUUGUGAGCAGGGAUGUUUUUUUUUGUCUAUGUGUACCCAGCGAUUGGCUGGCAGCCAGUUGAGGGUGACUCCCAUCUACAACCCGAACACUAUGACGUUCAUUUUGUCUUCUUAUGCUAAAAUGUGUUUGUUUUUUUUCCCCCAGACUAUGAUUUUUUAUUUUUUAUUUUGGAAGAACAAAACUCUUGGCUUACAAUUUCAUCUGUCGCUUCCGCCUUCAUCGGAGCUGUCACUUCUUCCCGGUGACGUGUCUUAAAAAUAGUUGACCGGGUCAGGAAAC